UCCCCCAAAGAACAAAAUGAAUUUUAUCAUCAAUAUCAGAUUCUGAGAAAGUGUUCCAAGUUGCAGUCUCAUUGCAAAGUUCAAGGUCUUGUUUUAAAAUAGCUAAUUCUGCCUCUCUGAUUAUAUCAAAUGAUUUACAGUUAAAUAAAA